rnacentral:rRNA from 1 species
GACGUAGGGCGCGAGCGUUGUCCGGAUUUAUUGGGCGUAAAGAGCUCGUAGGCGGUUUGUCGCGUCUGCUGUGAAAACUCGGGGCUUAACUCCGGGCCUGCAGUGGGUACGGGCAGACUAGAGUGCGGUAGGGGAGACUGGAAUUCCUGGUGUAGCGGUGAAAUGCGCAGAUAUCGGGAGGAACACCGGUGGCGAAGGCGGGUCUCUGGGCCGUAACUGACGCUGAGGAGCGAAAGCGUGGGGAGCGAACAGG